rnacentral:rRNA from 1 species
UACGUAGGGGGCUAGCGUUGUCCGGAAUCAUUGGGCGUAAAGAGCGUGUAGGCGGUCCGGUAAGUCCGUUGUGAAAGUCAGGGGCUCAACCCUUGAAUGCCGGCGGAUACUGUCGGGCUAGAGUCCGGAAGAGGCGAGUGGAAUUCCUGGUGUAGCGGUGAAAUGCGCAGAUAUCAGGAGGAACACCAAUGGCGAAGGCAGCUCGCUGGGACGGUACUGACGCUGAGACGCGAAGCG